rnacentral:tRNA from 3 species
GCCGCGUUCGUCUAGUGGUCCAGGACAUAACAUUCUCAAUGUUAAGAUCACGGGUUCGACUCCCGUACGCGGUA